rnacentral:lncRNA from 1 species
CAAUACCGUUGCUGUUACUAACAGCCUCCGUCAUGCUGCUGCUGCCAUUAUUACCAUGGUCACUAUGGAUGUGGCUGCUUUCACCCCAAACUGACACCCAUAGGCAGGAAGAAAGGGAGGGAUGGAGUCAUUUCUUGCCUCUUCUUGCUUUAAUCCUUUGGGGAACCAAGGAGCAAGGUGACCUGGACAAAGCAGUUCGAGAUGGUAAGAGACAAAGCUACAACCAAUUUGUAGAUUUAAUUGGUGGCUUUUAUUAGCAACUCAUAAAUUGGGAAGCUGCCUCUGUUAUAUAAAUAGAAUAAAAGUUCCCACGGGACACUUGUGGAACAGUUGGUUUUAUAAGCUGGGAGCAAAGAAACAGAACAACAUGGGGAAAACCCCAAUAUGUUAACACCAAGUUACUUUUUGGUAAGGGUUGAAGCCGAGGGGACUUUCUAAUUAUGCUGACACAGAUAGGCUGGAAUCUCUUGUUUCCAAGAAAAACUGCUCUGUUUGGGGAUCUGUUUCUUUAAAAUUUCAUUUUAAUUAUGUGGUGUUUAUCUCGAGUGACUCCAUUUUGGUUUGGUUGGGGCCGCGUACAGGAGUUUAGUUGAAAACAAGGGCCUCCUGUCAUUUUUGUUUAAUGGUACGAUCCCAACCCUUUGCAAGAGAGCAGAGCACAUAAGAGGAGAAACUAAGAACAUAUAAACAAAUGGCCUAAAUGAUAGAGAUUGGUAAAAUUGUUCCAAGUUUUGAAGGUGAUUUUUAUAAAAAACAAACCAAUUAGAUUUACACCAAGAUUCUAGAAUGGUGGCUAAGUGAUCAAUUAUGAGCAUUUACACAGGGAGAAGAUAGCCAUGAGAAGCUUGCUGGAGGUUAUUAACCUACUCUGUUCAAUACCUCUGAAACCAGAUCAUCACAAGGGCCACAUCUUAGCGACUCAAAAAAUAACAAUGGUGGGAUAUCUUGAGUUAUGUAUGUUUGAGAAACUUGCCCCAAAUCAGAGAGAGAAGGUAAUAUUUUAGGUCACCUAUUCUUUCAACAUCCAUGCAUUUGCUACACCUCAUGGGUGGAGAAGAUUAUAGUUCAGGAAGUGUUAGGUGCAGGGCAGGCUGAACUAACGUUGUCUGCAGGGUGGUCUGAACACUUGACUCUCACCCUCACCCGUCUGGUUCCUUAUCGCUUGUUUGCCUCAAGUCUGAACACUUAACCCCUCUCAAGGCUGAACACUUGACCCCACUCAAGGCUAAACCUGUAUGGUGAAACAGAAACUCAUAUCUGACCCCCGGCCCGUCUUCCUGAAGGCAGAAGAUGACCCUCUUAGCAACUACUUUAUGAUCCAAUCACUGUACGCCAACAAGGCAGCUUGCAGGCCCAGACAGCCCAUUAGAUUUUGGUUAUAAAAACUCUCUCCUGCCAGGCCCCCGUCUCUUGCUCUCUCUCUCUCUCUCU